GCUAUCUGCAGUCGAGCGACAGACGAGGAGCUUGCUCCUCUGACGUUAGCGGCGGACGGGUGAGUAACACGUGGAUAACCUACCUAUAAGACUGGGAUAACUUCGGGAAACCGGAGCUAAUACCGGAUAAUAUAUUGAACCGCAUGGUUCAAUAGUGAAAGACGGUUUUGCUGUCACUUAUAGAUGGAUCCGCGCCGCAUUAGCUAGUUGGUAAGGUAACGGCUUACCAAGGCAACGAUGCGUAGCCGACCUGAGAGGGUGAUCGGCCACACUGGAACUGAGACACGGUCCAGACUCCUACGGGAGGCAGCAGUAGGGAAUCUUCCGCAAUGGGCGAAAGCCUGACGGAGCAACGCCGCGUGAGUGAUGAAGGUCUUCGGAUCGUAAAACUCUGUUAUUAGGGAAGAACAAAUGUGUAAGUAACUAUGCACGUCUUGACGGUACCUAAUCAGAAAGCCACGGCUAACUACGUGCCAGCAGCCGCGGUAAUACGUAGGUGGCAAGCGUUAUCCGGAAUUAUUGGGCGUAAAGCGCGCGUAGGCGGUUUUUUAAGUCUGAUGUGAAAGCCCACGGCUCAACCGUGGAGGGUCAUUGGAAACUGGAAAACUUGAGUGCAGAAGAGGAAAGUGGAAUUCCAUGUGUAGCGGUGAAAUGCGCAGAGAUAUGGAGGAACACCAGUGGCGAAGGCGACUUUCUGGUCUGUAACUGACGCUGAUGUGCGAAAGCGUGGGGAUCAAACAGGAUUAGAUACCCUGGUAGUCCACGCCGU
rnacentral:rRNA from 1 species